GUAAAUUUAUUUUUUUCCUAGGUAUAAAUAGUAAGAGACUUGAGAUCUUCAAUCACAGUUAAACAUUGCAUCUCAGACGGUUCGGUUUUGACACACAAACUACAAACAAAAUAAAUAAACAUGAAGUUCUUAUUGUUGACUCUUUUGGUUUGCUUCGUUGCUUUGGCUCUAGUAUCUGCUGCACCAUUGGAAGAAGGAGCUUUGGCUGAUGUUCCCGGAAGUGCAAGUGAUGUGAUCAACCCUGAGGACAACGAAGAAUUUUUUAAAUUGUUCUUGUUGAAGAAGAAAAUUUUAUGGUUGGGUUAAAAAAAGUGAACAAAAACAAAGAAAGGAAAACCUGAGUCACAAUGCCAUUGGAAAUACCCUUUUAACCAAAAUUAAGAAGAUAUGUAGUCUUAGCUUAGAGCACACACUAUAUGAAUUAUUUAUAAGUUAUGGAAGUAGAGUAAAAAUAAAAUAAAAAAAAAACUAUUAAAAAAAAAAAAAAA